AUUCAAGUAGCUUAUAUUAAGAGUGUAAUAUUGAAGAUAUUAAGGAAAUAGACUAUUCUUGAAUA
rnacentral:tRNA from 1 species